rnacentral:tRNA from 1 species
AGGGAUAUAGCUCAGUUGGUAGAGUGCUUGCCUUGCAUGCACAAGGCCCUGGGUUCAAUCCCCAGCAUCACAA